UACGUAGGGUGCAAGCGUUAAUCGGAAUUACUGGGCGUAAAGCGUGCGCAGGCGGUGAUGUAAGACAGUUGUGAAAUCCCCGGGCUCAACCUGGGAACUGCAUCUGUGACUGCAUCGCUGGAGUACGGUAGAGGGGAUGGAAUUCCGCGUGUAGCAGUGAAAUGCGUAGAUAUGCGGAGGAACACCGAUGGCGAAGGCAAUCCCCUGGACCUGUACUGACGCUCAUGCACGAAAGCGUGGGGAUCAAACAGG
rnacentral:rRNA from 1 species